rnacentral:rRNA from 1 species
GAUGAACGCUAGCUACAGGCUUAACACAUGCAAGUCGAGGGGCAGCAUUUUAGUUUGCUUGCAAACUGAAGAUGGCGACCGGCGCACGGGUGAGUAACACGUAUCCAACCUGCCGAUAACUCCGGAAUAGCCUUUCGAAAGAAAGAUUAAUACCGGAUAGUAUACGAAUAUCGCAUGAUAUUUUUAUUAAAGAAUUUCGGUUAUCGAUGGGGAUGCGUUCCAUUAGUUUGUUGGCGGGGUAACGGCCCACCAAGACUACGAUGGAUAGGGGUUCUGAGAGGAAGGUCCCCCACAUUGGAACUGAGACACGGUCCAAACUCCUACGGGAGGCAGCAGUGAGGAAUAUUGGUCAAUGGGCGAGAGCCUGAACCAGCCAAGUAGCGUGAAGGAUGAAGGCUCUAUGGGUCGUAAACUUCUUUUAUAUGGGAAUAAAGUUUUCCACGUGUGGAAUUUUGUAUGUACCAUAUGAAUAAGGAUCGGCUAACUCCGUGCCAGCAGCCGCGGUAAUACGGAGGAUCCGAGCGUUAUCCGGAUUUAUUGGGUUUAAAGGGAGCGUAGGUGGAUUGUUAAGUCAGUUGUGAAAGUUUGCGGCUCAACCGUAAAAUUGCAGUUGAAACUGGCAGUCUUGAGUACAGUAGAGGUGGGCGGAAUUCGUGGUGUAGCGGUGAAAUGCUUAGAUAUCACGAAGAACUCCGAUUGCGAAGGCAGCUCACUA